GACGCAGUGGCGCAGUAGGUAGCGCUGUUGCCUGACAGCAAGAAAGUCGCUGGUUCGAGCCUGUGCUGGGUCA
rnacentral:tRNA from 1 species